AGGUAUUGUGUGUAGAUUGAUGAGAACAUUUUUUUAUUUAAUCCAUUUUAGAAUAAGGCUGUAAUGUAAUGUGGAAAAGGUCAAGGGGUCUGACUACUUUCCGAAUGCUCUGUAUAUCUGUUUAUUUAUUACUGUUUGUUGGGGAAAAAACUUCUGGACUCUUGGCCAUUUGUCCAGUGAAAAGUGCCAGCCUAAUCCUUCCUACUGACAUGCUGCUUUAUAGCACUGUUAGCCUAACCUCUCCUACUGACAUGCUGCUUUAUAGCACUGUUAGCCUAACCCUCUCCUACUAACAUGCUGCUUUAUAGCACUGUUAGCCUAACCCUCUCCUACUAACAUGCUGCUUUAUAGCACUGUUAGCCUAACCCUCUCCUACUAACAUGCUGCUUUAUAGCACUGUUAGCCUAACCCUCUCCUACUGACACACUGCUUUAUAGCACUGUUAGCCUAACCCUCUCCUACUGACAUGCUGCUUUAUAGCACUGUUAGCCUAACCCUCUCCUACUGACACACUGCUUUAUAGCACUGUUAGCCUAACCCUCUCCUACUGACAUGCUGCUUUAUAGCACUGUUUUUUGUUGUUACCGGAUUCACAGUACCACUUAAUUUCACCUUCCAAUGAGAUCAAAAAUGAGUGCAUUUCAAGUAUUAGAUGGUAUUUUAAAGCAGUCCCGUGAGACAAUGGGCUGCAUCUGAAAAUGAAUGGAUGCAUAUUUUGCCUACAUAGUACACUGCUUUUGUUCCAGGGCCCGCCUUUUGGCCAGGGCCCGCCUUUUGGCCAGGGCCCGCCUUUUGGCCAGGACCCGCGUAGGCAUUUCAGUGGCAGACUUGUUGAAAGGGAUAAGAUUUCUCAAGGUUUGAUGAAUACCACAAAGUUAAACCUUAUCUUACAUUUUAAUUGUCUACUCAUUCAACAAUGCAAUAUGUUCUGAAAUCACCUAAUACAUCACUUAAUACACUCUGACACACACAAUCACACGUAUCACACACUAUCACACAAUCAAAAAUGAACUUCACCAAAAAAUGUUUUCUGUGAGAUGUUGUAUCCUGUUUUAGAAGAGUGUGUUUCAAAAGUGAAUCCAAACCGAAAAAUACAAUAUUGGACAUAUUAGGCAACUUAAUGACAUGCGCAUUACAUUGCCUUGCCAUAUCCAAACACUAAAUGGGUAGCAACCAUCCGGGAGCUACCAGGUGCUGAAUUUAAGACAUUAUCUUUAUCAUACAUUAUCAUUAUACCAAAUCAAUUGUACUGGUUCAUAUCUGAACAGCGUUAUCCCACAGUGAAAUCUUAAAUCUCAAAGCCUAUGCUACUUGUACCGUUCAAUAUGUGGAAAUGGGAGGAAGAUUAGAUGAUUUGCUAGUGCUGGUAGUCUAUCUGGGGAAGAAACAAUAUGUCACUCCUAGGAAGGGAAGCAACAACAAACUUGACUGCCUUAUUUCUUAUUGAUAAGUCCAAGGCCUUACACCAUCUUUACAGACAGACUGUAUAUAAUAGUAUAGUAGUACAUAGAAUCUGCACAUUCUAGAAGCGAUUCUAGAACCAAACAGAUUCUGGAUCUAGAACCAGAGCUUCACUGUUCAUAUCAAGGCAGCUGUUUAAACUCUGAUCAUGUUUUCAAUACUAUUUCUUAUGGUUCCUUUGUUUAUUUGCAGGGUCACUUAAUGCAUCCAUACUGUAUAAAACAACCCACAUUGAGUGUGCCCUUACUCAGUAUCAGUUGUAGAUGGACAGUAGUGUCGGAACAGGCAGACACACCUUUUAGUGGCCAUGGUGUGUUUCUCACAGGCUUGAAAAAAAUAUUGUCAACGUCCCAAAUAUCACCUUAUUCCCUUUAUAGUGCACUACUUUUGAUCAGGGCCCUGGUCCAAAAGUAGUGCACUACAUAGGGAAUAGGGUGCCAUUUAGCUAUGGGCCAUGGUCUAAAGUAGUGCACUACAUAGGGAAUAGGGUGCCAUUUGGGACGCAUGGUUAUAUAAAUGGUAUGGCGAUGGCUAAAUAUGUCAUUGAAGGCAACAGAGGCUGCGAAGAUAGUUGCAUAGAUUUGGUUUCUGGAGUUUGAUGAUGUCAACUUAAGAUCUAGAUACAAAACGAAUCGUGAUUGUCUUUCCCGGAGAUCCGGCCUUAUUUCCAUACCAAAGAAAAGCAGUUGUUUAAAAAUAACCGAAUUUUACGUUAGAAGUUGUAAUAUCGUAGGAGGUUGUUAUACAUGGGAUUUGUAAUCAUCCAUGCACUCCUAGAGACUUAUGUUAUCAGUGAAAAGAAACAGAUAUAACUUGUUGUACGUCCUUAAUGGCACUCUAUAUAGUGCACUUGAUUUUGACCAGGACACAUAGGACCUUGGUCUAAAGUAGUGCACUAUUUAGAGAAUAGGGUGCCAUUUGGAACACACUGUAUAAGUUUUGUUUCAUUUUGGAGGAGAGAAAAGAAAAGAGGAGAAGCUUCGAAAAUCCAUGUACAGCAUGUUGCUAAGGAAACACUGGGCCAGACAGCAUGUAAACGUAUAUGAAAUGGUGGAGGUCCUUGUUGUAACGUAUAUGAAAUGGCGAAGGUCCUUGUUGUUGCUUAGGAAACACUGGGCCAGAGAGCAUGUAAACGUAUAUGAAAUGGUGGAGGUCCUUGUUGUAACGUAUAUGAAAUGGCAAAGGUCCUUGUUGUUGCUUAGGAAACACUGGGCCAGACAGCAUGUAAACGUAUAUGAAAUGGCGGAGGUCCUUGUUGUUGCUAAGGAAACACUGGGCCAGACAGCAUGUAACGUAUAUGAAAUGGCGGAGGUCCUUGUUGUUUGCUUAGGCAAAACUGGGCCAGACAGCAUGUUGUUGAAACCAUCACUGCUAGCCAGCCAGCUAUGUGAUUAUAAUAGGAUGAUUUGCUUGAAUUUUGGCUAUUGUUAUUGUGGUAAAAGUCAUAGUCAAAAUUAAAGCUCCAUUAACUUGUAAAUAGGGUAGAUACAUAGAAAUGUAAGGCAUCAAGAAGAAAAAAAAGACUACUAUAUUAUGGCCAUCAUUCUAGCUAAGUAAGUCUAUGUGCCAUAUAAAGGAGAAGAAAAAAAGCUAAAUGUAUAUUAGUCAAGAUAAUAGAGACUGUGUGUUGUGUGUUGCAUUUCCGGCUCCUCAAUGUAUUUGUAAAAAGUAAUGCUGUCUGUUUGGUCUCUGGUUUGCUGAUGUGUUUUGACUUUCCUUUCAAAGGUAAUUAUUAUAAUAAUAAUGAUAAUAAUAGGUCUCUGAUGUGUGCUCUGAGCGAGAACAAUAGCAUGGUUUAUUGAUAAGAAGAAAAAAAAAAACAAGAGUUAUAUGAUAUAUAUAUAUAUAUAUAUAUAUAGCUGGUUGCAAACAUUUCUGCAACAUCAUCGAUUCUAUAGACAUUGUGUUCAUGUUUUCAACAAACAAACUUUGUAGGUUCACUUUUUAUUGCACUAAAUUUCUAUGCUAUGAAACAUGGCUUUGUCACAAACCUUAUAACGGACACAUGUCACGAGGGAAUGACGAAAUGAAGGCCCGCAACAACAACAACAACAACAAACACAACAAAAAAAAAAAUAUUUUUUAUGAUCUAAGAAAGAAUUGUCAUGUAGAAAAUGACUACUGUAAUUGUCAUGUAGCAAAAAAAACAAAAAAAAAGUGCAUUAAUAAUGAUCUCAGUGAGAUUUACUCAUUCUCAUCCACGAGAAUAUAAUCUAAGCGUUAAGGAAAAAUUAAAUGUUUAAAAUGAAUUUUUUUUUUUUAAAUGUUUAAAAACCUACAUGUUUCAUUAUGUUAAAAAAUGACUGUAGUACGUAGGCGUGCACGUGUUCAUGAUUUCUAUCCUACUACUUUGAAUUGUUAGGUGCCUCCAAAAUGGCACCCUAUUCCCUAUAUAGUACACUACUUUUUACCUGGUCAGAACUGUAGUAGUGCACUAUAUAGGGAAUAGGGUGCCUUUUCGAACGCACACUUAUUAAGGUAACCACUGUCUGCUGUGGUAAGGGCUGGCUCUGUGUACCUGACUGGUAGUGCUACUGUAAUACCUGACUGGCAGUGUUACUGUAGUACCUGACUGGCAGUGUUACUGUAGUACCUGACUGACAGUGUUACUGUAAUACCUGACUGGCAGUGUUACUGUAGUACCUGACUGACAGUGUUACUGUAGUACCUGACUGGCAGUGUUACUGUAGUACCUGACUGACAGUGUUACUGUAGUACCUGACUGGCAGUGUUACUGUAGUACCUGACUGACAGUGUUACUGUAGUACCUGACUGGCAGUGUUACUGUAGUACCUGACUGGCAGUGUUACUGUAGUACCUGACUGGCAGUUUUACUGUAGUACCUGACUGGCAGUGUUACUGUAGUACCUGACUGGCAGUGUUACUGUAAUACCUGACUGGCAGUGUUACUGUAAUACCUGACUGGCAGUGUUACUGUAGUACCUGACUGACAGUGUUACUGUAAUACCUGACUGACAGUGUUACUGUAAUACCUGACUGACAGUGUUACUGUAGUACCUGACUGGCAGUGUUACUGUAGUACCUGACUGGCAGUGUUACUGUAAUACCUGACUGGCAGUGUUACUGUAGUACCUGACUGGCAGUGUUACUGUAGUACCUGACUGGCAGUGUUACUGUAGUACCUGACUGGCAGUGUUACUGUAGUACCUGACUAACAGUGUUACUGUAAUACCUGACUGACAGUGUUACUGUAGUACCUGACUGGCAGUGUUACUGUAGUACCUGACUGGCAGUGUUACUGUAGUACCUGACUGGCAGUGUUACUGUAGUAUCUGACUGGCAGUGUUACUGUAGUUAACUUAAUUACAGUAAGUUACAUUAUUUUACAUUGUGGGCUGUUUACUUAAUAUAAGUUAAUAUUGUUCUGUUUGUAUGGAGCUGUUUCGUUAAUGAUGGAUUUAUGUUUUUAUUUUUACAUACUUUUUUUAAUGUAGCAUUUGUAAAGAAAUAUGUUGUUAAAAAAAAAAAUCAAGAUUUUUGGCAUUAUUACUAUAAGGCACUGAUAUUUGAAUUAAAUCUUUGAAUGAGGGAAAAUGCACCUCCAUCUUUAGAUGUACACGAGUUCCAACUAUAGAAUUAGAAUGAGUUCUAAUGAUUCUAUGGUUCCAUCAAGCAGUGACUCUACUCUGUACGUUGUGAGUUCUGACUGACCCUGAGCCAGUACCAACUCAGUUUGACUAUCCUGUUCAUUCCUACCAGUAGAAGAAGCUCCCUCCCUCUGUUGUUGUCUGGUGUAAUGUGUCAUAUGUACAGUAGCUUGUUAAUAUGGCAAAACAAAACAUUCAUGUUUCUUUUUUUUUUCAAUGGAAAGUACUCACUGGUGAGAUUUUUAAAGUGGUUUUAAAAGCCAAUAAACUUCUUUUUUUUUAAAGAA